rnacentral:rRNA from 1 species
CGGAGGAAAAGAAACUAACAAGGAUUCCCCUAGUAGCGGCGAGCGAAGCGGGAAGAGCUCAAAUUUAUAAUCUGGCACCUUCGGUGUCCGAGUUGUAAUCUCUAGAAGUGUUUUCCGCGUUGGACCGCACACAAGUCUGUUGGAAUACAGCGGCACAGUGGUGAUACCCCCGUACACGGUGCGGACGCCCAGCGCUUUGUGAUACACUUUCAAAGAGUCGAGUUGUUUGGGAAUGCAGCUCAAAUUGGGUGGUAAAUUCCAUCUAAAGCUAAAUAUUGGCGAGAGACCGAUAGCGAACAAGUACCGUGAGGGAAAGAUGAAAAGCACUUUGGAAAGAGAGUUAACAGUACGUGAAAUUGUUGGAAGGGAAACGCUUGAAGUCAGACUUGCUUGCCGGAGCUUGCUUCGGUUUGCAGGCCAGCAUCAGUUUUUCGGGGUGGAUAAUGGCGGUUUGAAGGUAGCAGUCUCGUGCUGUGUUAUAGCUUUCCGCUGGAUACACCCUGGGGGACUGAGGAACGCAGCGUGCUUUUAGCGAAGGUUUCGACCUUUUCACGCUUAGGAUGCUGGUGGAAUGGCUUUAAACGACCCGUCU